ACGGAAGGCGGCAGUGGGGAAUAUUGCACAAUGGGCGAAAGCCUGAUGCAGCGACGCCGCGUGAGCGAAGAAGUAUUUCGGUACGUAAAGCUCUAUCAGCAGGGAAGAUAAUGACGGUACCUGACUAAGAAGCACCGGCUAAAUACGUGCCAGCAGCCGCGGUAAUACGUAUGGUGCAAGCGUUAUCCGGAUUUACUGGGUGUAAAGGGAGCGUAGGCGGUUUUACAAGUCUGAUGUGAAAGCCCGGGGCUCAACUCCGGUAUUGCAUUGGAAACUGUAGAACUAGAGUGUCGGAGGGGUAAGUGGAAUUCCUAGUGUAGCGGUGAAAUGCGUAGAUAUUAGGAGGAACACCAGUGGCGAAGGCAGCUUACUGGACGAUUACUGACGCUGAGGCUCGAAAGCGUGGGGAGCAAACAGGAUUAGAUACCCUGGUA
rnacentral:rRNA from 1 species